GCGGCAUGCCUAACACAUGCAAGUCGAACGAGAAUAUGUAGCAAUACAUUAGUAAAGUGGCAAACGGGUGAGUAACACGUGGGAACCUACCUUAUAGUACGGAAUAGUCCCGGGAAACUGGGUUUAAUACCGUAUACGCUCUUCGGAGGAAAGUUUUAUCGCUAUAAGAUGGGCCCGCGCCAGAUUAGCUUGUUGGUGAGGUAAUGGCUCACCAAGGCAACGAUCUGUAGCUGGUUUGAGAGGACGACCAGCACACUGGAACUUAGACACGGUCCAGACUCCUACGGGAGGCAGCAGUGGGGAAUAUUGGACAAUGGGGGAAACCCUGAUCCAGCAAUGUCGCGUGAGUGAUGAAGGCCUUAGGGUUGUAAAGCUCUUUUAGUGGGGAAGAUAAUGACGGUACCCACAGAAAAAGCACCGGCAAACUCCGUGCCAGCCGCCGCGGUAAUAC
rnacentral:rRNA from 1 species